rnacentral:rRNA from 1 species
UAAUACAUGCAAGUCGAACGAACUCUGCUGAUGAUUGAAGCUUGCUUCAUGAAUCAGAUUUGAGUGAGUGGCGGACGGGUGAGUAACACGUGGGUAACCUGCCCAAAAGUGGGGGAUAACAUUUGGAAACAAGUGCUAAUACCGCAUAACAACUACUUUCACAUGAUCGUAGCUUGAAAGAUGGCUCUGCUAUCGCUUUUGGAUGGACCCGCGGCGUAUUAGCUAGUUGGUGAGGUAAUAGCUCACCAAGGCAAUGAUACGUAGCCGACCUGAGAGGGUAAUCGGCCACAUUGGGACUGAGACACGGCCCAAACUCCUACGGGAGGCAGCAGUAGGGAAUCUUCCACAAUGGACGAAAGUCUGAUGGAGCAACGCCGCGUGAGUGAAGAAGGGUUUCGGCUCGUAAAACUCUGUUGUUAAAGAAGAACAUAUCUGAGAGUAACUGUUCAGGUAUUGACGGUAUUUAACCAGAAAGCCACGGCUAACUACGUG